UACAGAGGGUGCGAGCGUUAAUCGGAUUUACUGGGCGUAAAGGGCGCGUAGGCGGUUAUAUGAGUGUGAUGUGAAAGCCCUGGGCUUAACCUAGGAAGUGCAUCGCAAACGAUAUGACUGGAGUACUAGAGAGGGUAGCGGAAUUUCCGGUGUAGCGGUGAAAUGCGUAGAGAUCGGAAGGAACACCUGCGGCGAAGGCGGGUUGCUGGGCUGACACUGACGCUGAGGCGCGAAAGCUAGGGGAGCGAACGGG
rnacentral:rRNA from 1 species